rnacentral:lncRNA from 1 species
AUGGUUUCAAAUACAUUUCAACCAUCAAAUUCCAUUCAAAACGGUUUUUCCUUCAAGCAUCCCAAUAGUCACGCUUCAAGUGUUUCAACCCUCAUCCUCCCCUCAAGGUACAACCGCCGCGAAGACCUAUUUCCUCUCUUUGAUAAAUACGGAAAGGUCGUUGACAUCUUCAUCCCAAAGAUCAAAGUCAGAAAGGAAGGGUUAUUGAAACUUAUCCGAGAUCAAAGACCUCAAGGAAUUGCAUACGAUCAAAACAAGAAAAAGUAG